rnacentral:lncRNA from 1 species
UGAACUUUGGAAAAACAUUUAAAGUGGCUUGGCAAGAGAAGAGUAACACUGUGAUCUCCUUGGUAUCUUUCUAUUUCUGAGCUGAAUAUACUAGGAAAGAAUGACCAAACGUUCAUGUCUAUAGCGCACUACUUUCUGACUAUUACUAGAGGCACGAGAGCUGCAGAGAUGUUUCCUGGUGAGCAGACAUGAGAGCUGAGAGGAGUUUAAUUAACCAGCUGGAGAAAACUGCAAGAGGAUAAAACAUAUCUUGUGGCAGAUAGAAAGUUUGCUUGAUGCUGUUCCUGUCGCUCUUUUUCUUCCACUUCUGAAGACGUCGAGGCCAAAUGCAAGAAGAGGGUUGUAACCCUGGGGAGACGUGUACUGCUGUGCAGAGUCACAUAAGAGAACUGUCUGGCACCACAUGGAAACAGAGGGAAACAGUAGCUACUUCAGAUGACCCAGGCCAGAUUCUUGUCUUCAGCAAAACAUUAUGGCACCAGUUAAAUCAACAGAAUGACGUCAGUUUACUCUGA